AGACCCGAAACCCGGUGAUCUAGCCAUGGGCAGGUUGAAGGUUGGGUAACACUAACUGGAGGACCGAACCGACUAAUGUUGAAAAAUUAGCGGAUGACCUGUGGCUGGGGGUGAAAGGCCAAUCAAACCGGGAGAUAGCUGGUUCUCCCCGAAAGCUAUUUAGGUAGCGCCUCGUGAAUUCAUCUCCGGGGGUAGAGCACUGUUUCGGCUAGGGGGCCAUCCCGGCUUACCAACCCGAUGCAAACUGCGAAUACCGGAGAAUGUUAUCACGGGAGACACACGGCGGGUGCUAACGUCCGUCGUGAAGAGGGAAACAACCCAGACCGCCAGCUAAGGUCCCAAAGUCAUGGUUAAGUGGGAAACGAUGUGGGAAGGCCCAGACAGCCAGGAUGUUGGCUUAGAAGCAGCCAUCAUUUAAAGAAAGCGUAAUAGCUCACUGGUCGAGUCGGCCUGCGCGGAAGAUGUAACGGGGCUAAACCAUGCACCGAAGCUGCGGCAGCGACACUCAGGUGUUGUUGGGUAGGGGAGCGUUCUGUAAGCCUGCGAAGGUGGCCUGUGAGGGUUGCUGGAGGUAUCAGAAGUGCGAAUGCUGACAUAAGUAACGAUAAAGCGGGUGAAAAGCCCGCUCGCCGGAAGACCAAGGGUUCCUGUCCAACGUUAAUCGGGGCAGGGUGAGUCGACCCCUAAGGCGAGGCCGAAAGGCGUAGUCGAUGGGAAACGGGUUAAUAUUCCCGUACUUGGUGUUACUGCGAAGGGGGGACGGAGAAGGCUAUGUUGGCCGGGCGACGGUUGUCCCGGUUUAAGCGUGUAGGUGUGUGUUCCAGGUAAAUCCGGUUCACUUUAACACUGAGGCGUGACGACGAGGCACUACGGUGCUGAAGCAACAAAUGCCCUGCUUCCAGGAAAAGCCUCUAAGCAUCAGGUAACAUCAAAUCGUACCCCAAACCGACACAGGUGGUCAGGUAGAGAAUACCAAGGCGCUUGAGAGAACUCGGGUGAAGGAACUAGGCAAAAUGGUGCCGUAACUUCGGGAGAAGGCACGCUGACACGUAGGUGAAGUGAUUUACUC
rnacentral:rRNA from 1 species